rnacentral:rRNA from 1 species
UACGAAGGGGGCUAGCGUUGUCCGGAAUUAUUGGGCGUAAAGAGCUCGUAGGCGGUCUGUCGCGUCUGCUGUGAAAACCUAGGGCUUAACUCUGGGCGUGCAGUGGGUACGGGCAGGCUAGAGUGCGGUAGGGGAGACUGGAAUUCCUGGUGUAGCGGUGAAAUGCGCAGAUAUCAGGAGGAACACCGGUGGCGAAGGCGGGUCUCUGGGCCGUAACUGACGCUGAGGAGCGAAAGCAUGGGGAGCGAACAGG